GCGUCUUCCAACGGGACAACCGGAGAGAGAGGCGGAGCGAUCGAGAGGGAGGUGAGAGAUAUUGAUACGAUGCUCAAUGCGCCAUCGUAAUCACACCGGAGAUUGGCGUCAUGGGGUUUUAGGAAUGUUUUAGAUUUGGUACGGAGACUUCCUCCUCCUCCUCCUCCUCCUCUUCUGCAAGAGAGGGAGAAGGAGAGCUGAACGAUGAGAGUUCCGGUGUGCGGGGGUGACCAGCUGGGCUCGUUAGAGGACAGCCAUUACAGCCUUUCGCAUGGCAUCCUCCCUCCACUUGGCGCCAGGAGCAACCGCCGAGUCAAGCUUAAGGACUUCAUCAUCUCUCCUUAUGAUCGUCGUUACAGAGCGUGGGAAAUUUUUCUAAUCCUUCUGGUUAUCUACUCUGCGUGGGUGUCACCGUUCGAGUUUGGAUUCCUGAAUGCGGCAAAGGGAACCCUUGCGGUGUUGGAUAAUGUCGUCAAUGCGUUCUUCGCAGUUGAUAUUGUCAUGACCUUCUUUGUUGCUUACGUCGAUAGGAACACGUACCUGCUUAUCGAUGAUCGACGAAAGAUUACUCGGAAAUACUUGUUUUCUUGGUUUAUUCUAGAUGUCAUCUCCACUAUACCAUCGGAGCUUGCUCGAAAGAUCUUACCGAGAAGCCUCAGAUCUUAUGGGUUCUUCAACAUGCUUAGACUGUGGCGGCUUCGGAGAGUUAGUGCUCUAUUUGCCAGGUUGGAGAAGGACAGAAAAUUCAGCUACUUUUGGGUUCGCUGUGUGAAGCUUAUCUGUGUAACUUUGUUUGCAGUUCAUUGUGCUGGGUGUUUCUAUUAUCUCCUUGCAGCAAAGUACCCUGACCCAGCAAAAACAUGGAUUGGAGCAUCGUUGCCUGAUUUUAAAUCAGAAACCUUGUGGGUCCGCUAUGUGACAUCAAUGUAUUGGUCAAUUACCACACUUACUACUGUUGGAUAUGGUGACCUACAUCCGCAAAAUGAAAGAGAGAUGAUAUUUGAUAUUGCAUACAUGUUAUUCAAUCUUGGAUUGACUGCAUAUUUGAUUGGUAACAUGACUAAUCUAGUAGUCCAUGGUACCAGCCGUACAAGGAAAUUUAGAGAUACAAUUCAAGCAGCCUCAAGUUUUGGAAUACGAAAUCAGUUACCUACACGGUUGCAAGAUCAAAUGCUUGCACAUUUGUGUCUAAAGUACAGAACUGAUUCAGAAGGACUGCAGCAGCAAGAAACUCUAGACUCCCUUCCAAAAGCCAUUCGUUCCAGCAUUUCCCACUAUCUAUUCUAUGCUCUAGUUGAUAAAGUUUAUCUAUUUGGAGGGGUUUCAACUGAUUUGAUUUUUCAGUUGGUCUCUGAGAUGAAAGCUGAAUAUUUUCCACCAAAGGAGGAUGUUAUCUUGCAAAAUGAAGCACCUACAGACUUUUAUAUUCUGGUGACUGGUGCUGUGGACCUUAUUAUGUACAAGAAUGGAUCGGAGCAGAUUGUCGGUGAUGCACGUGCUGGAGACGUUAUUGGAGAAAUAGGAGUUUUAUGUUACAGGCCUCAACUAUUUACAGUUCGUACAAGGAGACUUUGCCAGCUUUUACGGAUGAAUCGUACCACGUUCCUGAAUAUAGUUCAGUCUAAUGCUGGAGAUGGAACCAUAAUCCUUCGUAAUUUUUUGCAGCACUUGAAAGAAAGUGAUGAUCCAGUGAUGCAAGGAGUUCUAGCAGAGACUGAGAAUAUGCUAAAGAGAGGAAGAAUGCAUUUGCCUCUUAACCUUUGUUUUGCUGCACAAAGAGGAGAUGACUCGCUAUUGAAACAACUAUUACAAAGUGGAUUAGACCCAAAUGAAGCUGACAUAAGCGGGAAAACAGCACUGCAUAUAGCAGCAGCUGAUGGAAAUGAAAAAUGUGUUCAACUUCUGAUUGAUCAUAACGCAGACGUUAACAUCCGAGAUUUGGAUGGAAGUGUACCACUAUGGGAAUCAAUAGUUUCAGGACAUGAUGCAGUGAGCAAGCUGUUAUUUGAAAAUGGUGCAAAUCUACAAUCUGGUGACAUGGCCAACUUUGCUUGUGUUGCUGCUGAGCGCAGCAGUAUUCAGAUGCUGAAGGACAUAGUGUAUUAUGGUGGUGACGUAACAAUUGCAAGGAGCAAUGGGACAACUGCACUUCAUGUGGCUGUCUGUGAAGGGAAUGUUGAUGCUGUCAAGUUUCUUGUAGACCAUGGUGCUGACAUUAAGAAGCCAGAUCAACAAGGUUGGACCCCAGUUGCAUUGGCAGAGCAGCAGUGCCAUGAAGAGAUAAAGGCUCUAUUCAGCUCCAUGGGAGGGAGCUGUCUUAGUAAGACGGGAUCCGAUUCUCAUUUAUUGGCACCAAAGCUGGCUCCUCCUACACUGAAGAAUGCCAGUAGCAUGCCUAACCCACUCUUCCUCCGGCCUUCAUUUACAGUUGAUCAACAUAGGCGAGAAUCAGACAACUUUCGGAAUUCACUCUUUGGUAUCCUGUCUUUGGCACAUGAUUUUGGUAAAGGAGUGGGUCCAGUGUCUCUUGAAGACCAGAAGAAUGGCACAAUAGGAGGUGAGGUCAUCCCUAAGAGAGUGACGAUACAUGGUCUCCGAACAGGCCAUGAUGGUGGGAAGCUUAUUUGGCUGCCUGGGACAAUGGAAGAGCUACUUCAUAUUGGUGCCGAGAAGUUUGGCCUUUUGCCUACACGGGUCCUAACUGUAGAUAAAGCUGAUAUUGAUGACAUAAGCUUAAUAAGGGAUGGAGAUCAUUUGUUUCUAGUUGAAGAUGGGAAGUCAACUGUUUUUAAAGAAGAGACAGGAGAGUUGUAACUUUUAUCUGCCAAUCUCUUAACCCACAGUUGAGAUAGGUUUGCUCACAGGGUGCUCAAAGGAUGACAUGAAUGUCAGACAAGGUUCAUUCCAGAGCUAAUUCACAAUUCUCUUGGUCAUGGGUCUCUUGGUUGUUGGAGUUCCUGAGCCAUAAAGAGGGGUUGCUAUGAUCAUAGUUGACUGGUCGUGCAUUUGGAGAUCUUUGUAUUAAAUAAAAGGUUAGAGUUAACCCUCUGCACCGCGUCUGCCACGCUCUCUGGAUAGAAGUUGUGGUGGAUAGGCGCAUAAAACUUCUUUGAUGGAGGCUUGAAAUAUUUGCAUGAAGUUGGGCCAAUAUUUUGUUCCCCUUUAUGUUCCCCUUUUUCAAGAAGAAGAAAAAGAAGCUACGGACAGUUUUGGUGCAUAGACGUGCUAUUUCCCUAGAUCCGGAGGUUUGACUAUGUGGCUGAGUUGUGGAGGGAGUGGAAUUCAAUAUUCUUUUGGUGAUCUGUGAGAUUAUGGCAGAGUUUAAGGGAAUUGAUUGAUUUGUUGCUGGUUUGGCUUACUCUCCAUGUGGAAAGUGAAGGUUCCACUGCUUACAUGAAGCAUCAGGCUGGAGACUCGGAACAAUGAACUUCAGACACAAGCAGAAGUGGCUAGAUCAAAAGGGAUAACAGUCGAAGCCUGGGUAGUUAUAAAUCCAAAGAAACCCCACAGGUCAGUGGCAGUAUUUUCUUUAGACGAAGUCAUAGAAAGCGUGAGAAUGUUAAAAACUUAAAAUUACCAUUGAACUAAUUUAGUUUCAGCAAAGCAAAGGUUUUAAACUGAUUUAAUUACUUUGCUUAGUGAAAAAUACUCUUUGUAACUUUAAUUUCGUGAGAAUGAUAAAAUUACCAUUGAACUAAUUUAGUUUCAGUAAAGCAACAAUCUCGAACUUAUUUAAUUCCUUUUCUAGUGAAGAAAUACUCUUGUAACUUUAAUUUCAUCACUUCUUCUAUUCUGUUUAAUUUGUUUGCAAAACUUCUGCUGAUAAUGUGAUGAUUCUGAUCACUAAGCUUGCUAAUGUUUUUGAAAAGUCCCUCGGGAAAGAAAACGGCCCGCAUUCAGAGUUUCUGUUAGAGAAGUGAAGAUAUAGACCCUUCUGUUAGAGAACCAGAGCAGCUCCCUCUGUGGAGGAGGUUGUUCAGACUGUAUAGAGAACAGGAAGCUGUGGCACCGAGCAGCCCCUACCAUCUUCACCUCCAUAUUCAUCUACUUACUGGGUGCCCUCACACUGACCUUCACUGGUCAGGUUGGGGAGCUCAAGCUCUUAGCUGUGUCCAUAGAGAACCCUGUGGUUGUGGGGUUGGUAAGACAUGGCAAUUGGGUAUGAAAGUGCCCUGGAGAGACAAUGUAGACAGGCCUUUGGUGCCGACAGGUUCAGGAUGCUGGUGAUUUGCAUGCAGAAGUCACAGGUUAUUCUGUUCUGCACGACCUUGAUUUUGACUCGAGUCUAAAUCUUCCCAAACCAUAUUCUCAAGCUUGUUGGGGUCUAUGAUGAUUGAUGUACUGGUUGAUCUAGCAGGUGAACUGAAUUGUGUCUUCAUAUUGCCAUCACAUAAUAACUUUGAUCUAUUAUUAUCAUGGUUCUUAGUAAGCUGCCGAGGGACCAUCUUCAUUUGGAACCUUCUGGAAAAGUUUCCUGCUUGUUCCGUACAAUUUUCAUCAUUUUGUUCUCUUUUUGCUAUGCAUAUAGAACUUGUGAAUGUAUUUCUAUUCCUCUUAAAGGUGAUCGAUUGCGUUGCUUUGUGUAUCACAAUGUUAAGUAGACGACAUACCUAUCAAUCUAUAUGGCUGUUCUUCUCCUAACGGUAAAAAUUUUGAUUCAGUUGUUUUCUGCACACCAAGCAUUUGAAAAUUCUUUUGGAAUAAUUAUUUCAUGUUGUCAAAACCAGGUAGCAAUUUCAA